rnacentral:rRNA from 1 species
AUGUCUGAAGGUACAAGGUACCAGUCAACAAUUGAGGAAUGGGCCAGUGUGAUCAAUGCCCCAAAGGAGAGUGAAGAUGACUUGGAUGUCUAUGCCAAGAAGAAGAUGGACCACAAUACCAUGGCUCAUAUGUACAAGGAGAUCCCAAACAAAGCUCUUGAGACUUUCAAGUUUGGGUCAAUCCACUUUCUUCUGUCAAGGCUGCCAACAAUCAACUGGAUCCUAAGGCACACUUUGUUGCCCAAGUCAGGUGACCACAACAUGAUUAGAGGGCAUGCUAUCAACUUGCUACACUUGUUUGAUGUGCCGCAGAAAUUCAAGGUCAUGAGCCUCAUUGUUGAGACCAUUAAGACGACAGCAGCAGACCAGAAGAGAAGUUGUGGGUAUGACCCACAGGUUCAGGAGUUGAUUAACUCAAAGAUGGGCACAGGAACAUACUUGCUGGAUAAGGAACAUUUUGCUAUCUAUCCAGACUUUGAGGACAAUCAAGUUGUUAUGAAUGAGAAUGAACCAUCAUCAGUGCAAGCUCAAGAUAAGAAGGAAAAGGCAAAGAGAGAGAAGGCUGCCAAGAUGCCAACUCAAGAGGAGGCAUCUGAGUACUUUUUGAAGAACAAGCAAGAGCAGCUUGGUUACUUGAUAGAAUCAACACUGAGGAUUGAGAAGGGGUUGGCCACCCUAACUCAAAACCAGGAGAGUCUGGAAAGAAUCAUGGAACAACAAUUCUAUGAUCUAGAUGUCAAAGUAACUGAGAUUCAGUCAGUUGUGGAGCAGCUCCAGGAUGACAUGCAGGAGAGGAAGGGCAAGACAACCACUGAUGCAUUUGCCAAAGUGCCUAGAGCUCAGAGGUCAGCUAUAGUGCCUGUGACAGACACCAGAGCCACAUCAUCUGCACCAGCUACAGCUCCUACAGCUCCAGGCAACCAGCUCCAGCACCAACUCCUCUAG